rnacentral:rRNA from 1 species
UGGGAAUAUUGCACAAUGGGGAACCCUGAUGCAGCAACGCCGCGUGAGUGAAGAAGUAUUUCGGUAUGUAAGCUCUAUCAGCAGGGAAGAAAUGACGGUACCUGACUAAGAAGCUCCGGCUAAAUACGUGCCAGCAGCCGCGGUAAUACGUAUGGAGCAAGCGUUAUCCGGAUUUACUGGGUGUAAAGGGAGCGCAGGCGGUUUAGCAAGUCUGAUGUGAAAUCCCGGGGCUCAACUCCGGAAUUGCAUUGGAAACUGUUAAACCUAGAGUGUCGGAGAGGUAAGUGGAAUUCCUAGUGUAGCGGUGAAAUGCGUAGAUAUUAGGAGGAACACCAGUGGCGAAGG